UACGUAGGGGGCGAGCGUUGCCCGGAUUCAUUGGGCGUAAAGGGUGCGUAGGCGGUUUGCUAAGUUUGAUGUGAAAUUCCAGGGCUCAACCCUGGCAUGGCAUUGAAUACUGGCGGACUAGAGUACUGGAGAGGAAACUGGAAUUUACGGUGUAGCAGUGAAAUGCGUAGAGAUCGUAAGGAAGACCAGUGGCGAAGGCGAGUUUCUGGACAGUAACUGACGCUGAGGCACGAAGGCCAGGGGAGCAAACGGG
rnacentral:rRNA from 1 species